UUAAGUGACUAAGCGUACACGGUGGAUGCCUGGCAGUCAGAGGCGAUGAAGGACGUACUAACUUGCGAUAAGCGCAGAUAAGGCAGUAAGAGCCGUUUGAGUCUGCGAUUUCCGAAUGGGGAAACCCAACUGCAUAAGCAGUUACUGUUAACCUGAAUACAUAGGUUAACAGAGCAAACCGGGGGGAACUGAAACAGUCUAAGUACCCCGAGGAGAAGAAAUCAACCGAGAUUCCGGUAGUAGCGGCGAGCGAACCUGGAUUAGCCCUUAAGCACUCGGUGAAGUAGGUGAACAAGCUGGAAAGCUUGGCGAUACAGGGUGAUAGCCCCGUAACCGACGCUUCAUCGAGCGUGAAAUCGAGUAGGACGGGACACGUGAUAUCCUGUCUGAAUAUGGGGGGACCAUCCUCCAAGGCUAAAUACUCCUGACUGACCGAUAGUGAACCAGUACCGUGAGGGAAAGGCGAAAAGAACCCCUGUGAGGGGAGUGAAAUAGAACCUGAAACCGUGUACGUACAAGCAGUAGGAGCACCUUCGUGGUGUGACUGCGUACCUUUUGUAUAAUGGGUCAGCGACUUAUAUUCAGUGGCAAGGUUAACCGUAUAGGGGAGCCGUAGCGAAAGCGAGUCUUAACUGGGCGCUCAGUCUCUGGAUAUAGACCCGAAACCGGGUGAUCUAGCCAUGGGCAGGUUGAAGGUUGAGUAACAUCAACUGGAGGACCGAACCGACUAAUGUUGAAAAAUUAGCGGAUGACUUGUGGCUAGGGGUGAAAGGCCAAUCAAACUCGGAGAUAGCUGGUUCUCCCCGAAAGCUAUUUAGGUAGCGCCUCGGACGAAUACUACUGGGGGUAGAGCACUGUUAAGGCUAGGGGGUCAUCCCGACUUACCAACCCUUUGCAAACUCCGAAUACCAGUAAGUACUAUCCGGGAGACACACGGCGGGUGCUAACGUCCGUCGUGGAGAGGGAAACAACCCAGACCGCCAGCUAAGGUCCCAAAGUAUUGCUAAGUGGGAAACGAUGUGGGAAGGCUCAGACAGCUAGGAUGUUGGCUUAGAAGCAGCCAUCAUUUAAAGAAAGCGUAAUAGCUCACUAGUCGAGUCGGCCUGCGCGGAAGAUGUAACGGGGCUAAGCAAUACACCGAAGCUGCGGCAAUUCUUUUAGAAUUGGGUAGGGGAGCGUUCUGUAAGCCGUUGAAGGUGAAUCGUAGGUUUGCUGGAGGUAUCAGAAGUGCGAAUGCUGACAUGAGUAACGACAAAGGGGGUGAAAAACCUCCUCGCCGGAAGACCAAGGGUUCCUGUCCAACGUUAAUCGGGGCAGGGUGAGUCGACCCCUAAGGUGAGGCCGAAAGGCGUAAUCGAUGGGAAACGGGUUAAUAUUCCCGUACUUCUGACUAUUGCGA
rnacentral:rRNA from 2 species